AUUAAGUUCUUUUGAUGGCGGAUGUCCGCCAUCUAUUAUUUGAGUCCGCCGUGGAAAGGUUUUGGCUCGACGGCGGUUCAAAUUUAUUUUCAAUGGCGGACAUCCGUCAUCUAAAAACUCCCGCUCAAAAUUUCGAUUCUCCCCGUAUAUUCAACCCAGGCCAAUUACCCAAUUAAAUUGACUUAAUAUGGCGGACAUCUGCCAUGUUAAGUUUUCGAGGAGUCGAGCGGAAAAUACCCGCCCAAAUUUCGAUUGGGCGGACUUUCAGUUAAGUCUGGGCGAAACUUAAGUGUACUUAUUCAUCUACUGUUUCUA
rnacentral:lncRNA from 1 species